rnacentral:rRNA from 1 species
CGGUAAUACGUAGGAGGCGAGCGUUAUCCGGAUUUACUGGGUGUAAAGCGCGUGCAGGCGGUUGGAUAAGUUGGGUGUGAAGGCUCCUGGCUCAACUGGGAGAGGUUGCUCAAGACUGUUCGACUAGAGCGUGGUAGGGGAAGGCGGAAUUCCGGGUGUAGUGGUGAAAUGCGUAGAUAUCCGGAGGAACACCAGUGGCGAAAGCGGCCUUCUAGACCAUGACUGACGCUCAGACGCGAAAGCUAGGGGAGCAAACGGGAUUAGAGACCCCGGUAGUCCUAGCCGUAAACGAUGUGAACUUGGCGGCGGGUGGGUAAAACUACUCGGUGCCGAAGCAAACGCGAUAAGUUCACCACCUGGGGACUACGGCCGCAAGGUUAAA